UAACGCGAAGAACCUUACCUGGGCUUGAACGCUUGAUGUUAUUGGGAGAAAUCUCAAGUCCCUUCGGGGCGUUGAGCGAGGUGCUGCAUGGUUGUCGUCAGCUCGUGCCGUGAGGUGUCGGGUUAAGUCCCAUAACGAGCGCAACCCUUAUCAUUAGUUGCCAUCAGGUAAAGCUGGGGACUCUAGUGAAACUGCCUACGCAAGUAGAGAGGAAGGUGGGGAUGACGUCAAAUCAGCACGGCCCUUACGUCCAGGGCUACACACGUGCUACAAUGGCCGGUACAGAGGGCAGCCACCUGGUGACAGGGAGCGAAUCUCGAAAGCCGGUCUCAGUUCGGAUCGAAGUCUGCAACCCGACUUCGUGAAGCUGGAAUCGCUAGUAAUCGCGCAUCAGCCAUGGCGCGGUGAAUACGUUCCCGGGUCUUGUACACACCGA
rnacentral:rRNA from 1 species